rnacentral:rRNA from 1 species
GACGAACGCUGGCGGCGUGCCUAAUACAUGCAAGUCGAGCGGACCAAUAGAAGCUUGCUUCUAUUGGUUAGCGGCGGACGGGUGAGUAACACGUGGGCAACCUGCCUGUAAGACUGGGAUAACUUCGGGAAACCGGAGCUAAUACCGGAUAAUUCAUCCCCUCGCAUGAGGGGGUGCUGAAAGUCGGUUCACGCUGACACUUACAGAUGGGCCUGCGGCGCAUUAGCUAGUUGGUGAGGUAAUGGCUCACCAAGGCGACGAUGCGUAGCCGACCUGAGAGGGUGAUCGGCCACACUGGGACUGAGACACGGCCCAGACUCCUACGGGAGGCAGCAGUAGGGAAUCUUCCACAAUGGACGAAAGUCUGAUGGAGCAACGCCGCGUGAGCGAUGAAGGCCUUCGGGUCGUAAAGCUCUGUUGUUAGGGAAGAACAAGUACCGGAGUAACUGCCGGUACCUUGACGGUACCUAACCAGAAAGCCACGGCUAACUACGUGCCAGCCGCCGCAGUAA